AGUAUUUUGUGGUGUUUCUAUGUGGUAUGUAUGUAGGGUUUGUAUUUAGUGGUGCGCUACCUAUAAGUCGGACCUCUCUGUCAGGUAAGUAUUUUCGAUAAGGCGCGAGAGAUACGAGAUGAGGGACGAUCGGUAAGACACGAUCUGAUAUUGGAGACGUUGUUAUAUUUGUCUCAUAUGAGUGAAAGACAAAGAAAGCUGACCAUGCUUUCUACUGUGGAUUAUCAAGAGAACUGGGUGAGAUGGACCAGCCAACACAGUAACAGUUUUGACCAUGACAGGGUCAUCUACAUGUGAUAUUCAGGGGCGGUAUAACCCAGCCUUGUUUCCCGGUGGUGCAGUUGACUCAUAUAAGUCAGUGGUCAACAGUUCGACCUACAUGUAUACCUGUGUGGUUUCCAUGUGGCAUAGAUGAUGAUUCUGGUAUCGGCUGAUUGUUGUGUUAACACUGAAGUGUUGUGAGAUACUGAAGUAUCUGCGCUCAUAGCUGGCCACUCAUGUGACGUGAUAAGGACAGAGGACCAGAGGAGUUGAUUGGAAGGGAAGAGGACAGAACUUUUCAAAAGUGAGUGCGAGUGUGUGUGUAUUUUGUCUAUAUAAGUCUUAUAAAUACUGUAAAUAAAUAUGUAUAUACUGUA